rnacentral:rRNA from 1 species
GUGGAGCCUGAUGCAGCGACGACGCGUGAGGGAUGACGGCCUUGGGGUUGUAAACCACUUUCAUUAGGGAAGAACCGAGAGUGACGGUACCUCCAGAAGAAGCGCCAGCUAACUACGUGCCAGCAGCCGCGGUAAUACGUAGGGCGCUAGCGUUGUCCGGAAUUAUUGGGGGUAAAGAGCUCGUAGGCGGUUUGUCGCGUCUGCUGUGAAAGCCCGGGGCUCAGCCCCGGGUCUGCAGUGGGUACGGGCAGACUAGAGUGCAGUAGGGGAGACUGGAAUUCCUGGUGUAGCGGUGAAAUGCGCAGAUAUCUGGAGGAACACCGAUGGCGAAGGAAGGUCUCUGGGCUGUUAGUGACGCUGAGGAGCGAAAGCAUGGCGAGCGAACAGGAUUAGAUUCCCUGGUAGUCC